rnacentral:rRNA from 1 species
GUCAAGUCCUCAUGGCCUUUAUGCCCUGGGCUGCACACGUGCUACAAUGCCAUCGACAGAGCGACGCGAUACCGUAAGGUGGAGCAAAUCGCAAAAACGAUGGCCCAGUUCAGAUUGAGGUCUGCAACUCGACCUCAUGAAGCCGGAAUCGCUAGUAAUCGGGGAUCAGCUACGCCCCGGUGAAUAUGUUCCUGAGCCUU